CAUUGUAGCUAAGCAUCAGUAAAAUUGAAACGAUACAAAGAAGAUUAGCAUGACCCCUUCAUAAAGAUAACACGCAUAACUCAAGAGAUGGUAGAAGGACAA